UAAAUAUAUAAAAAUAUAUAAAUAUAUAUAUGUUCUCUGAGAGAUAGGUGUUGAGAACUAGAAUUCUUCAGUUAGCAGCUUUCCCCCUGAAAUAUCACUGAAAAAAUGGUAUCAACCCCUCACAUAAGAUUUCCAUUUCUGUGCCUUACUCUGUUUGGCCAAUCCUCUCAUCCCUUAGUGAUUCCGAGCAUGUAUGGCUAUUUAAUGCAUGUGAAUAUCCACAGGCAUUUAAUUUGUCUCAGCUGUACUGAUGGAGAAAUAUUCAUCCAGAAAAAGGUGGGUGACAGGUAUUGACAGGCACAAAACAUUAGGAAGGGUACAAAAGUAAAUCUCCUUCAGGAGUUUUGGAAUAAUAAUCACCAGACUUUGAGGACCUUGAAUGCUCACCUUAUUCUUGCUCUGCAGAGCAAUGCUGUGCACUGGUAUGAAUGUUGUGGGCUGUGCCUGUGCUUCCUUCCAGCUAGCACUCCUAUGGAUCCAUGACUACCUGGAAAAUAAUGCUAA